rnacentral:piRNA from 1 species
AUGUCAAGAAGGAAGGCUUAACCCC